GUCGUGAGGGAAUCGCAGCAGAUUCGGGUGGGCCGGCUCGGCUAGUAGGCUUGUCACGCUCGCACUCGCCGCGUCCGCCGGCGUCCUGCCGCCGCGAAGCUUCUAGUAAGUAGAGAAGCCCCCCCGCGUCCUCCACUCCCGUCGCCGCAAAUCUCGACCCGAGGAAACUUCUGCAGUGGCCAAAUUCCAAUUCUGUGCCAUUGAGAUGGAGCUCAUACAUGGACUUGCAUCAGUGAUCAGUUGCUAGCGCCAGAGGUCGAGGAAGUCAGCAGCGCCGUCAAGGAACAUUAGGGAGACAACCAUGCUCCUGGUAGCGCCUCAUUGCAGUCUUCAUCAGAGCAUGGGGUUCAAUCAGAGAGAGGUGAUGGCCAUGUCUCAUAAACAGCGACAAACCGCACCAGGUGUCCUGAGAGUUAGUUUUCACGAGCAAUUUCCCAUCAAUGAAAUUGUAUGUGAGAACUGUUACAAAAAAGGAGUUUUCACGUGCUGGACGAUUUGGCUAUCUCGAAACGACGUGGUUUUCAAUAACUAUCGCACCUCGUCGGACGCAUUGGUGGCCCGCGUAUGGCAAGAAGCGGAACUCUGGAGCUCUACUGGAGCGAAGAGUCUACCUUCACUCCUUCAGCACUUGCGGGUCGUUGGCAGGAUAGUUUAGAUGAAACGUUCUGAGCUCCCCUCGGUUGUCUUCUCUUUGCAUAAGUUAGUCAGCUUAAACUAUUCGCUCUAUUCUAGGACUUAAAUUGAUCGUUGUGUAAGAACUCGUGUUUCUCUCCUACUCUUAAUACAAAGAUACGUAGCUCUCCUAUGUAUUCAAGAGAGAAAAAAAAAGAGCUUAUCGUACUAGAGCUUGUGAACAAAUGUGCAAAUUGCGUGGCUUCAGUUUAGCCUUCCUCACAACCCACCCACUGCCUUCCAGAUGCUGAGUUUUUGCACGGGCUUCCUGUGAGUUUGGUGAGAGACUUGGCCGACAUUUGUUCCAGUACAUUUUAGCUUCAUCACAUAUGUGAAUGUGAUUGCCUUUGUUCCUUGUGUCACCCCCCAGCUUUGCUACCUCGUGAUCCUGGGUUCUAGAGUCGAGCACCUGGAAAUGGAAAUGUCUAUUCGUGAAGAUUGGAGAUAACUUAUUGCUGCUAAAUUGCAGCUUCCAUGUUAUUACCCAGCAAUAUCUACCUGGAUUAAGUUUCUCUUCUACAAGAUGCAUUUUAAAUUUUUAAUGGGGCUCUUCAAAACCAAUGUAGCUGACUAUGGUCAAGACUGUUGUAUUCUUGACGAAAGAGACUUUGCCUCGACGCUGUCAUAUAACAAUGGAAAUGGAAUAAUCUGACAUCGAACGGAAUGGGAGCUCACAUUUUUUUCCUAUCUGUCGUACGUUCUUGUUUCUGUCUCUUUCUAGGAGAUGACGACGACGGCCGAAUUGCUCUA